CGUGCCAGCAGCCGCGGUAACACCGGCGGCUCAAGUGGUGGCCUUUUUAUUGGGUCUAAAGCGUUCGUAGCCGGUCUGAUAAGUCUCUGGUGAAAUCGCAGCUUAACUGUGGGACUUGCUGGAGAUACUGUUGGCUGAGGCGGGAGAGGUAGAGGUACUCCCAGGGUAGGGGUGAAAUCUGUAAUCCUGGGAGGACCACCUGUGGCGAAGGCGUCUCACUGGAACGAACCUGACGGUGAGGAACGAAAGCAGGGGCGCGAACCGGAUUAGAUACCCGGGUAGUCCUGGCCGUAAACGAUGUGGACUUGGGGUUGGAAUGGCCUCACCGUGCUCCAGUGCCGAAGGGAAGCUGUAAGUCCGCCGCCUGGGAAGUACGGCCGCAAGACUGAAACUUAAAGGAAUUGGCGGGGGAGCACCACAACGCGUGGAGCCUGCGGGUUUAAUUGGAUUCAACGCCGGACAUCUUCACCGGGACGACAGCAUAUUGAUGGCCAGNUUGACGACUUGCUUGACAAGCUGAGAGGAGGUGCAUGGCCGCCGUCAGUUCGUACUGUGAGGCGUCUUGUUAAGUCAGGCAACGAGCGAGACCCACGCCCUUAGUUACCAGCGGAUCUCUUUUAGUGAUGGCGUACAUGUGAGGAGCGCGGCUGCGAUAAGCUGGAAGAAGUGUGACGACAGUUGUCAUAUGCCCAUAUCCCGUGGACUACACGCGCGCUAUGAUGGGUACGACGUGAUUACACCGCGAGAGGAGGGAAUCUCUCAUGACCCUAGUCUACGUCUUGUGAGUGCUGCACUCGUCUCAGCUGCUAGAAUGAGUAUAUCGCUCGUCAUAACGCGCGAGACACCUCGCUGCUCGUAGUAACCACCGGCGUAUCAUAUAAGUAAUCGCCGCCUGCUGCACGUCA
rnacentral:rRNA from 1 species